rnacentral:misc_RNA from 1 species
GAUGGAGAACGUAGCGAAAUGCGAUAAGUAAUGUGAAUUGCAGAAUUCAGUGAAUCAUCGAAUCUUUGAACGCACAUUGCGCCCGCCAGUAUUCUGGCGGGCAUGCCUGUCCGAGCGUCAUUUCAACCCUCGAACCCCUCCGGGGGGUCGGCGUUGGGGACCUCGGGAGCCCCUAAGACGGGAUCCCGGCCCCGAAAUACAGUGGCGGUCUCGCCGCAGCCUCUCCUGCGCAGUAGUUUGCACAACUCGCACCGGGAGCGCGGCGCGUCCACGUCCGUAAAACACCCAACUUCUGAAAUGUUGACCUCGGAUCAGGUAGGAAUACCCGCUGAACUUAAGCAUAUCAAUAAGCGGAGGA